rnacentral:rRNA from 1 species
GGUCAAGUGAUUAAGCGCAUAUGGUGGAUGCCUAGGCGGUAGAAGGCGAUGAAGGACGUUGUAGCUUGCGAUAAGCUUCGGGGAGC